rnacentral:rRNA from 1 species
ACCCCGAGGAAAAGAAAUCAACCGAGAUUCCCCCAGUAGCGGCGAGCGAACGGGGAGGAGCCCAGAACCUGAAUCAGCGUAUGUGUUAGUGGAAGCGUCUGGAAAGUCGCACGGUACAGGGUGAUAGUCCCGUACACAAAAAUGCAUAUGUUGUGAGUUCGAUGAGUAGGGCGGGACACGUGACAUCCUGUCUGAAUAUGGGGGGACCAUCCUCCAAGGCUAAAUACUCCUGACUGACCGAUAGUGAACCAGUACCGUGAGGGAAAGGCGAAAAGAACCCCGGCGAGGGGAGUGAAACAGAACCUGAAACCGUGUACGUACAAGCAGUGGGAGCACCUUCGUGGUGUGACUGCGUACCUUUUGUAUAAUGGGUCAGCGACUUAUAUUUUGUAGCAAGGUUAACCGAAUAGGGGAGCCGUAGGGAAACCGAGUCUUAACUGGGCGAAUAGUUGCAAGGUAUAGACCCGAAACCCGGUGAUCUAGCCAUGGGCAGGUUGAAGGUUGGGUAACACUAACUGGAGGACCGAACCGACUAAUGUUGAAAAAUUAGCGGAUGACUUGUGGCUGGGGGUGAAAGGCCAAUCAAACCGGGAGAUAGCUGGUUCUCCCCGAAAGCUAUUUAGGUAGCGCCUCGUGAACUCAUCUUCGGGGGUAGAGCACUGUUUCGGCUAGGGGGUCAUCCCGACUUACCAAACCGAUGCAAACUCCGAAUACCGAAGAAUGUUAUCACGGGAGACACACGGCGGGUGCUAACGUCCGUCGUGAAGAGGGAAACAACCCAGACCGCCAGCUAAGGUCCCAAAGUCAUGGUUAAGUGGGAAACGAUGUGGGAAGGCACAGACAGCCAGGAUGUUGGCUUAGAAGCAGCCAUCAUUUAAAGAAAGCGUAAUAGCUCACUGGUCGAGUCGGCCUGCGCGGAAGAUGUAACGGGGCUAAACCAUGCACCGAAGCUGCGGCAGCGAACGUAUCACUUAAAACGCUUAACGUGACGGCAAAGCCGGCAUGUUCAAGCCACACUAAACGUUGAGUUGGCCGAUGUGCUGACAAACGAACAGGCGUUUUAAGGAUACGUUCGUUGGGUAGGGGAGCGUUCUGUAAGCCGUUGAAGGUGACCUGUGAGGGUUGCUGGAGGUAUCAGAAGUGCGAAUGCUGACAUAAGUAACGAUAAUGCGGGUGAAAAACCCGCACGCCGGAAGACCAAGGGUUCCUGUCCAACGUUAAUCGGGGCAGGGUGAGUCGACCCCUAAGGCGAGGCUGAAAAGCGUAGUCGAUGGGAAACAGGUUAAUAUUCCUGUACUUGGUGUUACUGCGAAGGGGGGACGGAGAAGGCUAGGCUAGCCGGGCGACGGUUGUCCCGGUUUAAGCAUGUAGGCGGAGUGACCAGGUAAAUCCGGUUGCUUAUCAACGCUGAGGUGUGAUGACGAUGCACUACGGUGCAGAAGUAGUUGAUGCCAUGCUUCCAGGAAAAGCCUCUAAGCAUCAGGUAACAUGAAAUCGUACCCCAAACCGACACAGGUGGUCAGGUAGAGAAUACUCAGGCGCUUGAGAGAACUCGGGUGAAGGAACUAGGCAAAAUGGUGCCGUAACUUCGGGAGAAGGCACGCUGGCAUUAGGUAAAGGGACUUGCUCCCGGCGCCGAAGCCAGUCGCAGAUACCAGCUGGCUGCAACUGUUUAAUAAAAACACAGCACUGUGCAAACACGAAAGUGGACGUAUACGGUGUGACGCCUGCCCGGUGCUGGAAGGUUAAUUGAUGGGGUCAGCCGCAAGGCGAAGCUCUUGAUCGAAGCCCCAGUAAACGGCGGCCGUAACUAUAACGGUCCUAAGGUAGCGAAAUUCCUUGUCGGGUAAGUUCCGACCUGCACGAAUGGCGUAAUGAUGGCCAGGCUGUCUCCACCCGAGACUCAGUGAAAUUGAACUCGCUGUGAAGAUGCAGUGUACCCGCGGCAAGACGGAAAGACCCCGUGAACCUUUACUAUAGCUUGACACUGAACAUUGAGCCUUGAUGUGUAGGAUAGGUGGGAGGCAUAGAAGUGUGGACGCCAGUCUGCAUGGAGCCAACCUUGAAAUACCACCCUUUAAUGUUUGAUGUUCUAACUCGGCCCCGUAAUCCGGGGUGAGGACAGUGUCUGGUGGGUAGUUUGACUGGGGCGGUCUCCUCCCAAAGAGUAACGGAGGAGCACGAAGGUUAGCUAAUCACGGUCGGACAUCGUGAGGUUAGUGCAAAGGCAUAAGCUAGCUUGACUGCGAGAGUGACGGCUCGAGCAGGUACGAAAGUAGGUCUUAGUGAUCCGGUGGUUCUGAAUGGAAGGGCCAUCGCUCAACGGAUAAAAGGUACUCCGGGGAUAACAGGCUGAUACCGCCCAAGAGUUCAUAUCGACGGCGGUGUUUGGCACCUCGAUGUCGGCUCAUCACAUCCUGGGGCUGAAGUAGGUCCCAAGGGUAUGGCUGUUCGCCAUUUAAAGUGGUACGCGAGCUGGGUUUAGAACGUCGUGAGACAGUUCGGUCCCUAUCUGCCGUGGGCGUUGGAAGAUUGAGAGGGGCUGCUCCUAGUACGAGAGGACCGGAGUGGACGAAUCACUGGUGUUCGGGUUGUCAUGCCAAUGGCAUUGCCCGGUAGCUAAAUUCGGAAGAGAUAACCGCUGAAAGCAUCUAAGCGGGAAACUUGCCUCGAGAUGAGUCUUCCCUGGGGCUUUAAGCCCCCUGAAGGAACGUUAAAGACGAUGACGUUGAUAGGCUGGGUGUGUAAGUGCAGCGAUGCAUUGAGCUAACCAGUACUAAUGAACCGUGAGGCUUAACCUU